AUUGAACGCUGGCGGCAGGCCUAACACAUGCAAGUCGAGCGAGCGGCGGACGGGUGAGUAAUGUAUGGGGAACUGCCCGAUUGAGGGGGAUAACUACUGGAAACGGUUGCUAAUACCGCAUACUAUUGGAUCUGCCCAUAUGGGAUUAGCUAGUUGGUGGGGUAAAGGCUCACCAAGGCGACGAUCCGUAGCUGGUCUGAGAGGAUGACCAGCCACACUGUGACUGAGACACGGCCCAGACGCCUACGGGAGGCAGCGGUGGGGAAUUUUGGGCAAUGGGGGAAACCCUGAUGCAGCCAUCCCGCGUGUAUGAAGAAUGCCUUAGGGUUGUAAAGUACUUUCAGCGGGGAGGCGUUACCCGCAGAAGAAGCACCGGCUAACACCGUGCCAGCAGCCGCGGUAAUUC
rnacentral:rRNA from 1 species